rnacentral:ncRNA from 2 species
GGGCGUUUUUCAGGAGAGCGCAGUAAGCUUUUUAAGGCAAGUUAACUUCAUGUGAGUGAACCGCAUUAAUAAAUAAGACUGCCACCGAAGGCGUAAGCACCCUGCCAAUCGCUCAGGUAACCGGACUGAAUGACUCAU